rnacentral:tRNA from 1 species
GCGCGUGUAGCUCAGCUGGAUAGAGCGUUGGCCUCCGGAGCCAAAGGCCAGAGGUUCGAAUCCUCUCACGCGCG